rnacentral:tRNA from 1 species
UUUUAAGAAAUAAUAAAUUAUACUCAACUUCGAAUUGAUUUUUAGGAUUAUAAAUCCCUUAAUUAAAAC